AGCAGCCGCGGUAAUUCCAGCUCCAAUAGCGUAUAUUAAAGUUGUUGCAGUUAAAAAGCUCGUAGUUGAACUUCGGGACCGGUGGGUUGGUCGUGCUUUUGUACGUACUGGCCCUACAGGUUCCUCUCUUCUGAAGAACCAUGAUGCCAUUAAUUUGGUGUUGUGGGGAAUCAGGACUGUUACUUUGAAAAAAUUAGAGUGUUUAAAGCAGGCUAAAGCUUGAAUAGAUUAGCAUGGAAUAAUGAAAUAGGACGUUUGAUCUUAUUUUGUUGGUUUCUAAGAUCGACGUA
rnacentral:rRNA from 1 species